AUGUUAGCAUAAGUAUGUCUCAUGUAAUAUUUGGGAUAUACUUGUACUAAAA
rnacentral:pre_miRNA from 1 species